CCGUAGGUGAACCUGCGGAGGGAUCAUUACUGAGUUUACGCUCUAUAACCCUUUGUGAACAUACCUAUAACUGUUGCUUCGGCGGGUAGGGUCUCCGCGACCCUCCCGGCCUCCCGCCUCCGGGCGGGUCGGCGCCCGCCGGAGGAUAACCAAACUCUGAUUUAACGACGUUUCUUCUGAGUGGUACAAGCAAAUAAUCAAAACUUUUAACAACGGAUCUCUUGGUUCUGGCAUCGAUGAAGAACGCAGCGAAAUGCGAUAAGUAAUGUGAAUUGCAGAAUUCAGUGAAUCAUCGAAUCUUUGAACGCACAUUGCGCCCGCCAGCAUUCUGGCGGGCAUGCCUGUUCGAGCGUCAUUUCAACCCUCAAGCUCUGCUUGGUGUUGGGGCCCUACAGCUGAUGUAGGCCCUCAAAGGUAGUGGCGGACCCUCCCGGAGCCUCCUUUGCGUAGUAACUUUACGUCUCGCACUGGGAUCCGGAGGGACUCUUGCCGUAAAACCCCCCAAUUUUCCAAAGGUUGACCUCGGAUCAGGUAGGAAUACCCGCUGAACUUAAGCAUAUCAA
rnacentral:rRNA from 1 species